rnacentral:rRNA from 1 species
CCUACGGGAGGCAGCAGUGGGGAAUAUUUCACAAUGGGGGAAACCCUGAUGCAGCGACGCCGCGUGAGUGAAGAAGUAUUUCGGUAUGUAAAGCUCUAUCAGCAGGGAAGCAAAUGACGGUACCUGACUAAGAAGCCCCGGCUAACUACGUGCCAGCAGCCGCGGUAAUACGUAGGGGGCAAGCGUUAUCCGGAUUUACGGGGUGUAAAGGGAGCGUAGACGGCAGCGCAAGUCUGAAGUGAAAUGCCAGGGCUUAACCCUGGAACUGCUUUGGAAACUGUGCAGCUAGAGUGCAGGAGAGGUAAGCGGAAUUCCUGGUGUAGCGGUGAAAUGCGUAGAUAUUAGGAGGAACACCAGUGGCGAAGGCGGCUUACUGGACUGUAACUGACGUUGAGGCUCGAAAGCGUGGGGAGCAAACAGGAUUAGAUACCCGUGUAGUC